CGACCACGUCGCCACACACCAAACACAGGACACUGUGUGUGAUUGGAUCAGCCCUCGCACCGUCUCAAAAGCAGGCAUCCAGAAGGCAGCAGCAACACAGAGCCGCCAAGCUGCACGACAACAAUAACAACAAAAUAAAGUCCCAAAAAUAAAGUUAUAGACAGAGGAACAGGGGCUUGAGAUCUGACGAAAGUCAAGAGCCCCAUCGACAUGUCGAGGUUGGAAUAUUUUGGGAUAGGGUUAUAUUGGGAACGGAACAUUAUAUUAUAAUAUUUAUAUAUAACACGAGUACUCUCUCCCCUUCUCUCUAUAGAUAUUUAUUGAACAAAUUUAGUUAAAAUUUAGUUAAACUCUACUUGUGUUAAGCGGCCUAACUCGAGUAAUGAGUAGGUGAACAAGCGGUCGACACGUCAGCAUGAUGUUCCCACGAUGGUGACACGUUGCCCACGCAGCCCGCAACGACCGCACCUACGAGCCGCGCUAUCGUGCGCCGGCGCCGGGACGGAGCGGCCCGGCCCGCCGUCGGAUUUCCGAAUCACGGCGCAGAUCCGCGACCUAGGCGACCUCACCGGCGACGUGCGCAGGUGGUGCGGCCAUCGGAGACGCCGGCGGCCAGAUCGCGCGCCAACAUUCCGGCCAUCAUGCGCCGGCCAGGCGAUUCCGGUGAUCUUUAGAUCUCCGAGAUCUACAAGAGGAGGGGGGAGGAGUGGGGGGUGGGGGAUGGGGGAGAGAGAUCCGUACCAUCCUUCGAGGAAGGUAGGCCCACUGCUCUGCUGCUGCUGC
rnacentral:lncRNA from 1 species